UUCUAGUGUAGAGGUGAAAUUCGUAGAUAUUAGAAAGAAUACCAAAUGCGAAGGCAGCUUUCUGGAUCAUUACUGACACUGAGGAACGAAAGCAUGGGUAGCGAAGAGGAUUAGAUACCCUCGUAGUCCAUGCCGUAAACGAUGUGUGUUAGACGUUGGAAAUUUAUUUUCAGUGUCGCAGCGAAAGCAAUAAACACACCGCCUGGGGAGUACGACCGCAAGGUUAAAACUCAAAUGAAUUGACGGGGACCCGCACAAGUAGUGGAGCAUGUGGUUUAAUUCGAAGAUACGCGCAGAACCUUACCAACACUUGACAUGUUCGUCGCGACUUUAAGAGAUUAAAGUUUUCGGUUCGGCCGGACGAAACACAGGUGCUGCAUGGCUGUCGUCAGCUCGUGUCGUGAGAUGUUGGGUUAAGUCCCGCAACGAGCGCAACCCUCACUUUUAGUUGCCAUCAUUUAGUUGGGCACUCUGAAAGAACUGCCAGUGAUAAGCUGGAGGAAGGUGGGGAUGACGUCAAGUCCUCAUGGCCCUUACGUGUUGGGCUACACACGUGCUACAAUGGUAUCUACAACAGGAAGCAAAACUGCGAAGUUAAGCAAAUCCUUAAAAGAUACCUCAGUUCGGAUUGCACUCUGCAACUCGAGUGCAUGAAGCUGGAAUUACUAGUAAUCGUGGAUCAGCGUGCCACGGUGAAUGCGUUCCCGGGUCUUGUACACACCGCCCGUCACACCAUGGGAGUUGGUUCUACCUUAAGGCAAGGUUUCAAACCCUUGACCACGGUAUAGUCAGCGACUGGGGUGAAGUCGUAACAAGGU
rnacentral:rRNA from 1 species